CCACAUAGUUGCUUACACUGCCCAUAAUAACCCUCUUGAUCUUUCCAAGCCCUCUGUUCCCUAUGACCAGACAGCUCAAGGGAGUUUUAUCAAUUGCUUCACAUAACUUCUCUCGAGCAUCUCCCCAGAAAAUUUUCAUGACUACUGUGAUCUCCAUCUGCCUAGCUGCAAGGGUUAUCAUUUGCAAUGUUUCAGGGUCAGGGUUAACCCCAUACCUCUUCAUUGUGUGGCCAUCACAUAUCUCUGAUAAAGGUAUUAAAGGAGAACCAGUGGCCUCCCAGAGCUGCAUCUCUCCUUCUUCAUAGUGUCCUUCAGGACGAACAGUGACGAGAAUAAGAUGAUCCCCUUUACGAAGAAUAUUAUCAAUGGCCCAUUUCAGAGCUUUGUUGCUGCAAGCUGAGAAAUCGACUGCUACCCCAACAAAUCUACCACCUCCUUCCAUACCUACAACUCCAAGAUUUUUGCUUGGUUAAACAGUUUCUUGAAAAACCAAUAUAGUGAUAGAGAGAGCAAUUGGGUUCAAAAUGGAUUUUUUUUGAUGAAGAAGAAGGAAAAGUAGUGCG
rnacentral:misc_RNA from 1 species